rnacentral:lncRNA from 10 species
AUACUGCCUCAUCAAACAUAUGCCACAAUGGUAAGAGCCAUCCUGAUUUCAGAAGUGUGCAUUGUAAGGCAGAAAAAUAUAUCCUCAUGCUCCAAGGUCACUAGGACAAUGGAUACAGCAGAAAGUCAGUUCCCUCAAAUCUCGCCUUGUGAUUCAUUCAUUCACUCAUUCAACAAAUAUUUUUGAGAGCCUGGUGCUGGGGACAUGGCAGACAACAGUAAACGGGAGACUGGCUUCCUGCUCUCCCAGAGCUCCCAUCUGAGUGGAGCAGACAGCCUUUAUGUUAGUAACACAACAUAUAAAUAUGCACUUACAAAUAGGAAUAUGUGCAAAGAAAGAACAGAACUGAAUGUUGUGAGACAAAGAACAAAGAGGAAGGAAGAGCUUUGAGCAGAUAUCCAGGGAAGGCCUCUCAGAAGAAGCUCCUGCAAAGGAGGAUGGGUGAGGAACAAGCUCCAGGAGACGGAGAGGACGUGCCAUGGACCCAAGGGGCAAGGAGUCCAGGGUGUGCUCCAUACUGAAGAAAGGCCAGUCCAGUGAGUGCAGCAGAAGCCACAUCAGCUCAGCCGUAUGGCCAUGGCAAGGGGUUUUGGUUUUAAUCUGAGUGCAGUUGGGCGAAUUUAGGUAAAAGUGACAUGCGGGGAAGUGGCAUAGGCUGAUGCAACUCUUGGAAGAAUCCCUCUGGGUGCUGGGUUAAGAAUAGGCCCAUUGGGAGUGGUGGGAGGAGUAGAAGUAGAGAAACCAGAGACAAGGCUAGUGUGGUGCUCCCAGCAAAUGCAAACAGUGAUGGCAGUUGGGACUAGGGUCGUGGCCAUAGAGAAAAGAGUAGGUUGAUUCAAGCUUUGAAGAGAGCCUGGGGCAUGUUGUGAUUGACUGCACAUGGGAGAGAGAGGGGUGCUUCAUGGGCAUUGCCCUCCAGUAGGCGGAGUUGCUGCUCACUGAAAAGAAGCUUGUGUGGGCAGACCUCCUUCUCGUCCCAUCCCAAGGGAGGUGGAAAAACGACCAGGAAGAGAAGACACUUUUAGAAGCCUCAGGAGAGCCUGAGAGAGCAGUUACUGAUGCUAACUGAACCCUUCACUUAUUUGUCCUCUAUGUGGCAAGACCCACAAUGCACACUCCAAGGAGUAAUAUACAAAAUUAAUGCUGUACAAGCAUAUAAGAUGAAGAAAACACAACUCUUCAUCUGGUCCUGGGAGGCUUCGUGGAGGAAGCAUUUUCUCUCCUAGAUCUAGAAGGACAAUAGAAUCUAAAUAGGUUGUUUCCAGUUUUUGGCAAUUACAGUAAAGCUGCUAUGAACAUUUGUGUACAAGUCUUUGUAUGGACACGUGCUUUCUUUUCUCUUCAGUGCGUAGCUAGCUGUGGACUGGCUGGAUCAUAACUGUAGGUACACAUUAAACUUGAUAAGAAAUAGUCAAACUGUUUUUCAGUAUUUUACUUCCCAGCGGCAGUGUAUGAGAGUU